ACCUCCCUUAACAACUCCUAAGUGAGCUUACUGCUCCCUAGAAAUUUAGCGCCUAUGCUAACGUGCAUCCAGUCAACACUGCACCGACUCUUUCUGGCCGUUACGCGAACAGUUAGAUGCAUAUGCUAGCAACGGCCCCCGGUGCACAUUAGCAUGAUAUUAACAUCUAAAGAAUUAUUCACUUGGAAUUUGUAGAUUUUUUUUACACACAUUAAGUAAACACGAAAUAAAUAUUAACAGAGAAAUGGGACUAUUAAAUUCUAAAAUGCUUUACGAAAUUAGCUAAAAAUUAAAAAAAAAAAAAAA
rnacentral:misc_RNA from 1 species